GUAGUACUUCCUCCGUUCCAAAAUUCUUAUCUUAUUUUGUCUAGAUAUGAAUGUAUCUAGUCACGUUUUAGUAUUUAGAUAUAUUUAUUUCUAGAUAAAUCUUAAGACAAGAAUUUUAGGACGGAGGGGGUAUAUC
rnacentral:pre_miRNA from 1 species